AAAGGACCCUCAGUCGGUGAAAUGGAUAAGCUUGGUUUCCUUUCACUACCAGAGCUUUUAAGCAAAAGAGCAAGGUUUGGAAGCUUUGAGCUUUGUGGAGCUUGGAACUCCAUAUCUUCAAGUUUGGGGUCACACCAGCCUUUGUUAUUCAGGAGGAUCGGACCCGAGGGACCGAGAAGGCCACCAGUGUUAGCGGUUGCAGAGUCAGUCCAGCG